CCUACGGGAGGCAGCAGUGAGGAAUAUUGGUCAAUGGGCGCGAGCCUGAACCAGCCAAGUCGCGUGAGGGAGGACGGCCCUACGGGUUGUAAACCUCUUUUGCCGGGGAGCAACGGGCGUCACGUGUGGCGCCACUGAGAGUACCCGGAGAAAAAGCAUCGGCUAACUCCGUGCCAGCAGCCGCGGUAAUACGGAGGAUGCGAGCGUUAUCCGGAUUUAUUGGGUUUAAAGGGUGCGUAGGCGGAAUGCUAAGUCAGGGGUAAAAUUGAGGGGCUCAACCCCUUCCCGCCGUUGAAACUGGCGCUCUUGAGUGGAAGAGAAGUAUGCGGAAUGCGUGGUGUAGCGGUGAAAUGCAUAGAUAUCACGCAGAACCCCGAUUGCGAAGGCAGCAUGCCGGCUUCCGACUGACGCUGAAGCACGAAAGCGUGGGGAUCGAACAGGAUUAGAUACCCGGGUAGUC
rnacentral:rRNA from 1 species